AAGAGUGCGCGCGCAGGUGGGCGUGUCUGGGAGCUCUCGAGGAGCUUCUAGCCCGGCGCUCCUAUACCUGAGCUAGUCUUCUUUUGCCCCGCCCCUUUCCUCGCGUUAGAGUCAGUCGCCCAAUCUCGGCGCCCUGACCACGCAUGCGCUCUCUGAUGCCUCUGAUCCUCCCUCAAGAUCUGUCAGUGUUCGUGCGUUUUCCGGUACCGCGAUGCUUCCGUGUUGUCUACACCUGCGAGCAAGCCGUGAGAAAGGAAGUCGAGGUUCAGUGAACGGACGGAUCGUUUGGCCUGUUUUUGUUUUCUCAAGGCUUAGUUAUGACACUCUCUUCCUCUUAGACUGUUUGACUUCAGAGGCCUUAGGUGUGCGUCCGUCUUCUCUCUGGCGUCAGCAUCGCAGGGGCGGUCUUUGUUCAAGCCCAUUCAUCUUUUGUGAAGUCAGUUCAAGACCUUUGCCCUUGUUGUAUUCGUGUUGGUCUUACCAUUGAAUGCGGGAGUUCAGAGUACAAAUGUUUUGUUAAACAAAUGUAGACUUGGGUUGCUUCCAUCAUUUGGCUAUUGUGAACAAUGCUCCUGUGAAGAUGAGUGUGUAAAUAUCUCUGAGAUCCUGCUUUCAAUUCCUUUGGGCAUAUACCCAGAAGUAGAAUUGGAAUGACACCCAGGAAGAUGUAUUUGUACACCAGAUUGCCAUAAAGAAGAAUAACUCCGGGAAGCACCUAUGCGAGGAAGAUGGAG